rnacentral:rRNA from 1 species
CCUACGGGUGGCUGCAGUGGGGAAUUUUGGACAAUGGGGGCAACCCUGAUCCAGCCAUGCCGCGUGAGUGAAGAAGGCCUUCGGGUUGUAAAGCUCUUUCGGACGGAACGAAAUCGUUUGGACUAAUACUCUGAGCGGAUGACGGUACCGUACUAAGAAGCACCGGCUAACUACGUGCCAGCAGCCGCGGUAAUACGUAGGGUGCAAGCGUUAAUCGGAAUUACUGGGCGUAAAGCGUGCGCAGGCGGUUUCGUAAGCUGGAGGUGAAAUCCCCG